rnacentral:lncRNA from 1 species
GAAGUUAUAAAUUAAAGUUAUUUUUGAUAUUUUAAAUUUAAAGUGAAAAAUUAAAUUUUAAAAAGUUAUUUGAAGUUAUAAAUUCAUUUAUAAAUGUUAUUUUAAAUUAUAUAUCCUAAAAAGUUAAAAAUUAACAACUAGUGAUUUUUUAAAAAUUAUAAAAAAUAUCAAUUUCUAAUAUUAACUUUUAAAUUUUAAUAAAUUUUAAAUUCGAAAAUUCAAUUAUAUAUUAACUUUAUUUUAAAUGGUUAUCAACUAAGUUUAAAUGAAUAUUUUAAAUAAAUAAAAAACCUAAACUACUAAAACCCCAAAUCGUGAUUUCAACCUAAACCCCCAAACCUACUCCCAACGAUACUUCCUGUCCGGCGAUUCCAACCUCUCAGGCGAGGAGCGAGCAACUUCCUUCACCGUUUCUUGUCCAUUCCUGUCCGGCGAGCAACUUCCCGUUGAUACCUCCCGUCCAUUCCUGUCCGGCGAGCAACUUGCGGCUACAUCUCCAGUUCUGUCCGGCAAGAUUAGGCUUCCAUCCGGCGAACGUCAACGACUUCGGUUAGGCUUCCAUCCGACUCAGGUUAGACUCCACAACCCAUCUUUGGGUUCUGAAUUUUUUUCAAUGUUCAAUCAAUAUCGAUUUAGGUUUACCAUUUCACUUUCUUUCCAUUUCAAAAUUCUUUGGGUUUUCCUUUUCCCGAAAUUAAAAUCUCAACUAGUAUAUCCAGAAAUCAUCACC